UUUUUUUUUUUUUUUUUUUUUAUAUUUUUUUUUAUUAAAUUAAUAUUCUUUUUAGUAAUUUUUUUUGAAAAAAUUAGUUUUUUUAUAGUUUAUUUUACUGUGAGGUAAUUUUGUUUAUAUUUUUUAAGUACUUCUUUUUUAAGGUACCUUUUGCAUCAGGGUUUAUUAAUUAAUUUUAUUUAUUUAUUUAUCUCGAAAUCCAAAGAUUUAAUUUAAUAUGUGUUUUAUUGUUAUAAAAAUAUUUUUAAUAUUAAAUUAGAUGUGAUAUGCUUUUCAUUUUGGGUUAUAUCUAGUUUUUUAAUAAUUGAAUUUAAUUCAGAAUUUAGGUGUUAAAUUUUAAAUUAAUUAUUUUUUAAUAUUUAAAUUUAAAGUUAAGGGGGAUAAGCUCUUUUUCUUUUAUAUAAUUUUUUUAUAUUUUUAAGAUAGUUUAUAGGAUUAAUAAUUUCCAUUAUUUAUUUAUUUAUAUUUAUCUGUCUUUUUUUAUGAUUUUUUUUUAUUUAUAUUUUUAUUAAAAUAUUUUGUUUAAUUUUUCUUCUUAAGAAAUAAUGAUAAAAUUAAUAAUUUUUUUAUUUUAUAAAUAGUAACUCGGCAAAUAUUUUUUUCACCUGUUUAACAAAAACAUGUCUUAUAGAUUUUAAUUUUAAGUCUGGCCUGCCCAAUGAUUUUAUUUAAUGGCUGCAGUAUUUUAACUGUACAAAGGUAGCAUAAUCAAUUGUCUUUUAAUUGAAGGCUUGAAUGAAUGGUCGGAUGAAAUAAAUACUUUCUUUUUAUAAUUUAUUUUAAUUUAAUUUUUUAGUUAAAAAGCUAAAAUUUUUUUAUAGGACGAGAAGACCCUAUAGAAUUUUAUUUAGACAUUGUUAUUUGAAUUUUUUGUUUAUAAAGUUUAUUAUUAUUUUCUAAAUUUGGUUGGGGUGACUUUAAAAUUUUUUAAACUUUUAUUUUUUUUAUUUCAAAAAUUUUUGAUUUGUUUGAUCCAUUUUUUAUGAUUAAUAGAUUAAAUUACCUUAGGGAUAACAGCGUAAUUUCUUUGGAGAGUUCCUAUCGAUAAAGAAGUUUGCGACCUCGAUGUUGAAUUAAGAUUAGGAUUGGGAGCAGUUUUUCAUAUUUCUAGGUCUGUUCGACCUUUAAAUUCUUACAUGAUUUGAGUUCAGACCGGCGUGAGCCAGGUCGGUUUCUAUCCUUAUUUUUUUUGUAUUUUAGUACGAAAGGACCAUUUACAAUAAUUAUAUUAUAACUUUUA
rnacentral:rRNA from 1 species